rnacentral:lncRNA from 1 species
GUGACUGUCCACACUGUGUGCAGCAGGCCACUGUGCCCCUCCGGGGUUUCUCCUCUUCACGGCUCAAGGGCUGCCUGUUGCCCAUGGCCCAGCCUCCAGCCCCAGCCCGCCCUGCUCUGCGCUGCCUGUGAAUCUGUGAGCGGCCUUGCACAGUCCUGGUCCUGUGCCGGGCGAUCUCCUGAGCACAAGUCCGCAGGGCUCUCCUGUAUCAUACCAUGUGUCUGCAUUCCCUUUCUUCAGGCCGCCGUUGCAGUCCAUAAAGCCUCAUGCAGUCAUAGGACCUCUGCUGGGCCUCCGCAGAACUGGAAGGAAGACGCAGGACCCUCCCAGCACCCCAGCCUCCAUGCGGUACUCCACCUCUGUGCAGCACCCCAGCCUGCAUGUGGCCUCCUUAGCCCACGUGCAGCAGCACUCCAACCCACAUGCAACACUGUCAAGCCUGCAGCAUCCCAGCCUCCAUGCGUUACCUCACCUGUGCUCGCGGCAUGCUGCAAGGGGCAGGAAACCCCUUCUGAGCACCAGGCCAAGGGGUUGGUGGUGACCAACCCCUCACCACCCGCACCUCCUCCCUGCGGUGGAAGCCUGAACGGUACUUGGUACGAAGUUGUCCUGACCCAUCUACCCGGCAGCAUCUCAGCCUUCCCUCUUUAGGGAGGCCUAGGUGAGCCCUGGAGAAGAGGGCGGAGCACAGACUGUGGGCGGUGCGGAUUGGGCUCCGCCUCUGAUUGGCUGGUGCAGGAACCACUCGCAGUCGUUGCUGCAAACCGCAGUGCUAGCACGGGCUCGCCUCGGCUCGGCCGUUCGGCUAGUUGGGCUCGGUUGCUCGGCUUGGUUCGGCUCGGCUAGGCUCGGCUGCGCUCGGCUAUUCGGCUAGGCUCGGGUGUUCGGGUACUCGGCUAGGCUCGGCUGCUCGGCUGGGCUCGGCUCUCGGC